rnacentral:rRNA from 1 species
UCUAGCUCUCUUCUGGUUACCCACUGAAGCUAAACUGGGUUGAGCCUGGUCAGUACCUGGAUGGGAGACCUGGGGAAAAUUAAGGUUGCUGCUGGAA